UUCUCACAUUUUCCCUAGAUAAUAUAUACUUGGGAGGUCCUGGAGGGAUUGGUACCAAACUCACACAUGAAAAUCACUCCCUAUGACAGCAAAAGACUCGGCAGGAGAUGCAACAUUCCCCCGAUGAAAAGCAGGGGUGCCACGAGUACACUGAGAGACAACACAGUAUAUCAUGCUGGAACCCGGCAUUUGAUGUCACUCCUGCAGAGUUGAUCACAGGCGGCAUAGUCACAGAACUUGGUGUCUUCAAGCCCAGCGAGCUACAUACCAUAUUACAAGCCCAGUGAUUAGAUAAACAAGUUUUAUUGUGCAAGGUGUUGCAGUGGGAGACAAAAAUGCUGAGUAAAUCAGAAAU